rnacentral:rRNA from 1 species
UCGAGAAUUUUUCACAAUGGGCGCAAGCCUGAUGGAGCGACGCCGCGUGGGGGAUGAAUGGCUUCGGCCCGUAAACCCCUGUCAUUUGCGAACAAACCUUGCUAUUUAAAAGAUGGCGAGCUGAUUGUAGCGAAAGAGGAAGGGACGGCUAACUCUGUGCCAGCAGCCGCGGUAAUACAGAGGUCCCAAGCGUUGUUCGGAUUCACUGGGCGUAAAGGGUGCGUAGGUGGUGGAGUAAGUCGGAUGUGAAAGCUCGGAGCUCAACUCCGAAAUGGCAUUGGAAACUACUCCGCUAGAGGAUCGGAGGGGAGACUGGAAUUCUCGGUAUAGCAGUGAAAUGCGUAGAUAUCGAGAGGAACACCAGUGGCGAAGGCGAGUCUCUGGACGAUUCCUGACGCUGAGGCACGAAAGCCAGGGGAGCAAACGG